rnacentral:rRNA from 1 species
CGGGAGGCAGCAGUUAGGAAUCUUCCACAAUGGGCGAAAGCCUGAUGGAGCAACGCCGCGUGCAGGAUGACGGCCUUCGGGUUGUAAACUGCUUUUGCACGGGAAGAUUAUGACGGUACCGUGCGAAUAAGGGUUGGCUAACUCCGUGCCAGCAGCCGCGGUAAGACGGAGAACCCAAGCGUUACCCGGAAUUAUUGGGCGUAAAGCGUUGCGUAGGCGGUUUGUUAAGUUUUCACUUAAAGAUCAAGGCUCAACCUUGGGAUUGGUGAAAAAACUGGCAAACUUGAGCAUAGUAGAGGCAAGUGGAAUUUGCGGUGUAGGAGUGAAAUCCGUAGAUAUCGCAAGGAACACCAAUGGCGAAGGCAGCUUGCUGGGCUAUUGCUGACGCUGAGGCACGAAAGCGUGGGGAGCGAACCGGAUUAGAUACCCGGGUAGUCCACGCCCUAAAC